rnacentral:ncRNA from 2 species
ACAGUACAAACUGAGCAGGCGAUGAACGGUUUCGUUCAUGGGGCUGGGCCUUAGGGCAGCAGGAUUCAGUACCUGCGGGACAGUG